rnacentral:rRNA from 1 species
GUGGAUUAGAUACCCUGGUAGUCCUAGCCGUAAACGAUGGAUACUAGGUGUUGUGAGUAUCGACCCUCACAGUGCCGGAGCCAACGCGUUAAGUAUCCCGCCUGGGGAGUACGCACGCAAGUGUGAAACUCAAAGGAAUUGACGGGGGCCCGCACAAGCGGUGGAGUAUGUGGUUUAAUUCGAUGCAACGCGAAGAACCUUACCAGGACUUGACAUGUCGCGAAUCCUCUUGAAAGGGAGGAGUGCCUUCGGGAGCGCGAACACAGGUGGUGCACGGCUGUCGUCAACU